rnacentral:RNase_MRP_RNA from 1 species
GGGUGAUGGGAAGUGUAAUACUCGCAGUGACGCACCGGUUUCACCAAUGACCGCAUUUGUUCGAAUGAAGUAAUGGCUGUGAGCGAAAGUCCCUGAACCUGAGGCUGAAAGAGCUCCAUCCGUAGUUGGGUGUACUCGGAAAUCCAACCUGGAUGGCGUUUGGGCCAGGAAACCAUGUGGUUGAGCCUAGGAUUGCCAUCGGUUGACCUCCGGGGUUCGUUGCAAGCAAAGUGACGUUACACAGUCGAACAGCACAGGGCUUACUCUCCCCUUAUCACC